AGAACAAAAGAAAAACAAAUUCAAACAAGAUGCAGCAUCUACAUCAGGCAUAAACACAUACGUAAGCAACCCAACCGAGUGGUUACAGAGCCAUCCCCUUCCUCAAGCACAGCUUGGCAUUUGCAACAUUUGGGAGGCCAGUCAUACUCUCCAUCUAUUACCCACUC